rnacentral:tRNA from 1 species
GGGGUUGGGGCUCAGCGGUAGAGUGCUUGCUUAACAUGUGCAAGGCCCUGAGUUCAAUCUUCAGCACCACA